rnacentral:rRNA from 1 species
AGCGAACGCUGGCGGCAGGCUUAACACAUGCAAGUCGAACGGGCACUUCGGUGCUAGUGGCAGACGGGUGAGUAACGCGUGGGAACGUGCCUUUCGGUUCGGAAUAAUCCAGGGAAACUUGGACUAAUACCGGAUAAUGUCUUCGGACCAAAGAUUUAUCGCCUUUAGAUGGGCCCGCGUUGGAUUAGCUAGUUGGUGGGGUAAAGGCCUACCAAGGCGACGAUCCAUAGCUGGUCUGAGAGGAUGAUCAGCCACACUGGGACUGAGACACGGCCCAGACUCCUACGGGAGGCAGCAGUGGGGAAUAUUGGACAAUGGGCGAAAGCCUGAUCCAGCAAUGCCGCGUGAGUGAUGAAGGCCUUAGGGUUGUAAAGCUCUUUUACCCGGGAUGAUAAUGACAGUACCGGGAGAAUAAGCCCCGGCUAACUCCGUGCCAGCAGCCGCGGUAAU